rnacentral:rRNA from 1 species
CCUACGGGGGGCAGCAGUGAGGAAUAUUGGUCAAUGGCCGGAAGGCUGAACCAGCCAUGCCGCGUGAAGGUCAGUGCCCUAUGGGCGUUAAACUUCUUUUGUGCGGGAGCAAUAAUGGUCACGUGUGGCCAGACGAGAGUACCGUACGAAUAAGCAUCGGCUAACUCCGUGCCAGCAGCCGCGGUAAUACGGGGGAUGCAAGCGUUAUCCGGAUUUAUUGGGUUUAAAGGGUGAGUAGGCUGUGAGGUAAGUCAGCGGUGAAAUGCCCCGGGUCAACGGGGUGAAGUGCCAUUGAUACUGCCGUGCUGGAAUGCGGAUGCGGUGGGAGGAAUGUGUGGUGUAGCGGUGAAAUGCAUAGAUAUCACACAGAACACCGAUUGCGAAGGCAUCUCACGAAUCCGAGAUUGACGCUGAGGCACGAAAGCGUGGGUAUCAAACAGGAUUAGAUACCCUUGUAGUC